UACAGAGGGUGCGAGCGUUAAUCGGAAUUACUGGGCGUAAAGGGCCUGUAGGUGGUUUCUUAAGUUAGAUGUGAAAGCCCUGGGCUUAACCUGGGAACUGCAUCUAAAACUGGGUAACUAGAGUAUGGUAGAGGGAAGUGUAAUUUCUAGUGUAGCGGUGAAAUGCGUAGAUAUUAGAAAGAACACCAGUGGCGAAGGCGACUUCCUGGACCAAUACUGACACUGAGGGGCGAAAGCGUGGGGAGCAAACAGG
rnacentral:rRNA from 1 species